CAGGUCUAAGGAUUUGAAGGGCUUCAACUGAGUCACACAACUCUGAUGGUAGCGGUGCCCAAUCUUCAGCUGUUGCAUCAGCAAAAGGAAGCAAGCUAUUUAUACCACCCCCAUUCCACGUAUGCUGCAGCUGCUGCUGUGCCUGAGCCUCUGGGGCCUUGUAGGCUGCUCUCAGGAGGAUGCUUUCUUCUAGGAAUCAGGACACAAAAGCUGUCGACAGAGCAAGGCUCUUUGGGCAAAUGAGUUCAGACAGACCAGGAGGAGGGCCUGUUGCUGGAAGAUCCUCCAGGCGUUACAACAGUGCAGGCUCACUGUGCACCAGGUGUACCUGGAGAAUAUCUCGGGCAUCAGAAGCAGAUGUUGGUGGUACGGCAGUAGAGGCUGAACCUUUCCACCAGUAUUUCCUUCCAUUCUGUUGCCAUGUGACAGAUGGCAGCAGAGGCAGCGUCUGACAUGAAAGUGGGGGUGAAGCAAAGGUGUCCCUGAAUUCCUCUGUGCAGAAAAAAAUGGCACCUAUUGACAUUCACCAAUGCUUGCUGAGCGUUGAUGGAGACCAAACAGUGGACGUGAGCACACAGUGAGGCAGUGGGUGAUGUGUUUCAGCAGUGGUGACAGCAACAUGAAAGACAAGCCAUGUUUCAGAUGGCCACGCACAGCUGUCACACCACUGAAUGAAGAGCAUCUCAAUCACCUAACCCAGGUGAACUGGUGGAUUUCAGAGUACUGUGUACAGAACUGAAUACCAUCUUAAAUGUGUUGGAAACAAUGGUGGCAAUAUUGGAAUAUCGCAAAGUUUGCAGCAGGUGGGUCUCAUGAUUGCUCACACUGGAACAGAAAGAACACUGUAUGCAACUUUGUCAGGACCUACUGAACCAACACAAGGCUGAAGGUGACGGUUUCCUGGUUUCAUUACCAGUAACAAGUUGUGGUGUUACCCUAAGAGCUGGUGUCAAAAUGGCAGUUCAGGGAGUGUCAAUGUGAAUUCCCCAUUGAAGAAAAAGUGCACUGUGCAGCCCUCAGCAUUUAAAGUGAUGUGCACUGUCUUUUUGAGAUAGGAAAGGGGUAAUCCUUUUUGGAGUUCCUGGAACACAGGCAAACCAUCAACUCUGACGGCUACAUCACAAUGCUGACUAAGCUGACGUUCAACUUUCCAGAGUCAGGCCAGAGAAGAAGACGAGGUUUCUCUUGCAACACGAUAAUGCCAGGCUUCAUUCCAGUUUGAAGACUGUGGAGCACUCUGCCAAUCCUGUCUGGACUGUCCUACCACACCCACCAUACAGCCUGGAUUUGGCACCUUUUGAGUUCCAUCUGUUUGGGCUGAUGAGAGAUGGACUGCAUAGGCAACAUUUUCCUAGCAAUGACAUCAUCAUAGCAGCCAUGAAACAGUGGGUCAGCUCCCCUGGUGCAGAUCUUUACGAGCACAGCAUGCAGGCUCUUGUUCAUCACUGGUAAAAAUGCACAACUAAUGGUGGUGGCUAUGUUGAAAAACACUAUCAAAUAGCGUUCUUCUGCUGUUUGUUGUGCUUUCCAUGAAAAUAAAGAGGAGGCAGUGCUUUCAGAGCAACCUAUGUAUAUUUUUAUCUUAUGGAUUAUCUUCAUCACAGUUGUAGUGAAUGCAUUUUAACUUUCCUGAGUAUCUCCAUUAUCACCCACUCUCUAUUUUUUCAAACUAUAAUGUAACAGGAGACAGCAGCAGCAUAAUACCUCAGGAUAUUAUUCACAGCAAAGGCAUCUCAGCUGGGAACAAAAUCCCAAUGUGCUCUUCUCUACAGUGUUUCUCAGGGCAAACACAGUAUGCUGGAGCAAGGGCAGCAAAAGAGCCUUGCAAGUAUUUGUGGGUGAGACACAGCUGGGAACUGCAAGACCAGCUAACUCGCACUCAGUCACCUU
rnacentral:lncRNA from 7 species